ensembl:lncRNA
AACAGAACUCCCAUGAGACUCCGGACUCCUUAAGCACACUCCCCAGAGGAUACUGUACCAGCAGAACUAAAAGUGAGAGGUGAGAAUGAAUAGAGAGUGAGAAAAGAGGGGAUGGAAGAGGAGAAGGAGGAGUGCACAGAGAGGAGAGAGAGAGGUGGGGAGAAAAGUAUGUUCUCACAUUCUAAACAAAGGCCUUCGUUCAUCUCUCCAGAAAACACAGAUCACCCCUCCUCUCCUGUCCUCUGCCCUCCUCUCCUUUCCCCUUCUGUCCUCUCCUGCCCUCUCUAGUCCUGUCCUCAUUGCCUUAAACUAACAAACACCUGGGUGGAGAGAGAGAGGUGGGGCGAUAGAGAGAGUGAGAGAGAAAGAGAGAGAUGGGUGGGGG